GUUUUGUUUUCAUAAAAUCUCAGCAGCUAUAAUCUUAAAUUAUGUAUUCGAGUGAAGAAUAUUUGUUUUAAUGUCUAAAACCCAUUUCCCUUUCCCCAGUUUUUAUUUUCGUUUUAGUCAAACUCCCCUCCCCUGUCCAUUGUUUUACACACAGUCGACUACCUCCUCUGUUUUUGCUUUCUUUGCUUUUGUUUACGAGUCUAUUUCGCUGUACACCGAUUUCACAGAGUUUUCGAGUCAGUUGAGUCAUCUCCCGAGUUGCGUUUUGUAGCUGUAGCCGAGUGUUUUCUGGUUUCGUUUAGUUGAGUCGUUCAAUCCUGUUUUUGAAAUUGGAGGAAUAUGAGCUAGCUUGGAAUAAGUGGAGAAUAUUCUUGGAGUAUUGGAAGCUUGCUUGGGAAUAUUGCAAAUGCUUGAAGAAAUAAAAGAAUAAAGCAAAAAAGAGAAAAAGAUGGAAGAAAAGGAUCAUAGGGGAAUAUUCUCAAGGAAGCAUCUAGAUGGGACACCUACACCCCCCUCUACCCUAAUUUCCCCCUAUAAAUACACACCUCCCUAUCAUGUUUCAACCUACCUAGGAUUUCAUAUUUUUAGUAGCCUCUCUUUUAUGUAGUAGAUCUAGUAGUAGCACUCUAAAUUUGUAAACACUUUUAUUAUAUCAAUACAAGUAUUCAUUUGUGUU